rnacentral:rRNA from 1 species
ACCCGCGUACAUGCCACCGGGGCAUCCCGGAGGCAGGAAAGGCUUCGGCCGGACAGGGAUGGGCAUGCGGCGCAUUAGGCAGUAGGCGGGGUAACGGCCCACCUAACCGACGAUGCGUAGGGGUUCUGAGAGGAAGGUCCCCCACACUGGUACUGAGACACGGACCAGACUCCUACGGGAGGCAGCAGUGAGGAAUAUUGGUCAAUGGUCGGGAGACUGAACCAGCCAAGCCGCGUGAGGGAUGAAGGUACAGAGUAUCGUAAACCUCUUUUGUCAGGGAACAAAGGCGGGGACGUGUCCCCGGAUGAGUGUACCUGAAGAAAAAGCAUCGGCUAACUCCGUGCCAGCAGCCGCGGUAAUACGGAGGAUGCGAGCGUUAUCCGGAUUUAUUGGGUUUAAAGGGUGCGCAGGCGGUCUGUUAAGUCAGCGGUCAAAGCCCGGGGCUCAACCCCGGCCUGCCGUUGAAACUGGCAGUCUCGAGUUGGAGAGAAGUAUGCGGAAUGCGCGGUGUAGCGGUGAAAUGCAUAGAUAUCGCGCAGAACUCCGAUUGCGAAGGCAGCAUGCCGGCUCCACACUGACGCUGAGGCACGAAAGCGUGGGUAUCGAACAGGAUUAGAUACCCUGGUAGUCCACGCAGUAAACGAU